rnacentral:sRNA from 1 species
GUUACUAAUCUUGUUU